GAUGAAGAACGCAGCGAAAUGCGAUACGUAAUGUGAAUUGCAGAACUCAGUGAAUCAUCGAGUCUUUGAACGCACAUUGCGCCCCCUGGUAUUCCGGGGGGCAUGCCUGUCCGAGCGUCAUUGCUGCCCUCAAGCACGGCUUGUGUGUUGGGCCUCCGUCCUCCUCCCGGGGGACGGGCCCGAAAGGCAGCGGCGGCACCGCGUCCGGUCCUCGAGCGUAUGGGGCUUCGUCACCCGCUCUUGUAGGCCCGGCCGGCGCUUGCCGACACAUCAAUCUUUUUUCCAGGUUGACCUCGGAUCAGGUAGGGAUACCCGCUGAACUUAAGCAUAUCAAUACGCGGAGGA
rnacentral:misc_RNA from 1 species